rnacentral:sRNA from 1 species
UUUGGUGGAAGUUACCCUAAAGCCGUUACGUCCUGUGACAACGCUUAACUGACCUACAUCGCGCAGG